rnacentral:rRNA from 1 species
UACAGAGGGUGCAAGCGUUGCUCGGAAUCAUUGGGCGUAAAGGGUAGGUAGGUGGUCUCGUUUGUCUGGGGUGAAAGCCUUGAGCUUAACUCAAGAAGUGCCUUAGAAACGGCGAGACUGGAGUCUUGGAGAGGGUCGUGGAAUUCCCGGUGUAGCGGUGAAAUGCGUAGAGAUCGGGAGGAACACCAGCGGCGAAGGCGGCGACCUGGACAAGUACUGACACUCAACUACGAAAGCGUGGGGAGCAAACAGG